rnacentral:rRNA from 1 species
AACGAACGCUGGCGGCAUGCCUAACACAUGCAAGUCGAACGAGACCUUCGGGUCUAGUGGCGCACGGGUGCGUAACGCGUGGGAACCUGCCCUUAGGUUCGGAAUAACUCCCCGAAAGGGGUGCUAAUACCGGAUAAUGUCUUCGGACCAAAGAUUUAUCGCCUUUGGAUGGGCCCGCGUUGGAUUAGCUAGUUGGUAGGGUAAAAGCCUACCAAGGCGACGAUCCAUAGCUGGUCUGAGAGGAUGAUCAGCCACACUGGGACUGAGACACGGCCCAGACUCCCACGGGAGGGAGGAGGGGGGAAUAUUGGACCAAGGGGGAAAGCCCGAUCCAGCAAUGCCGGGGGAGUGAUGAAGGCCUUAGGGUUGUAAAGCCCUUUUAACCGGGAUGAUAAUGACAGUACCGGGAGAAAAAGCCCCGGCUAACUCCGUG